rnacentral:rRNA from 1 species
GAUCAUGGCUCAGAUUGAACGCUGGCGGCAGGCCUAACACAUGCAAGUCGAACGGUAACAGGAAGAAGCUUGCUUCUUUGCUGACGAGUGGCGGACGGGUGAGUAAUGUCUGGGAAACUGCCUGAUGGAGGGGGAUAACUACUGGAAACGGUAGCUAAUACCGCAUAACGUCGCAAGACCAAAGAGGGGGACCUUCGGGCCUCUUGCCAUCGGAUGUGCCCAGAUGGGAUUAGCUAGUAGGUGGGGUAACGGCUCACCUAGGCGACGAUCCCUAGCUGGUCUGAGAGGAUGACCAGCCACACUGGAACUGAGACACGGUCCAGACUCCUACGGGAGGCAGCAGUGGGGAAUAUUGCACAAUGGGCGCAAGCCUGAUGCAGCCAUGCCGCGUGUAUGAAGAAGGCCUUCGGGUUGUAAAGUACUUUCAGCGGGGAGGAAGGGAGUAAAGUUAAUACCUUUGCUCAUUGACGUUACCCGCAGAAGAAGCACCGGCUAACUCCGUGCCAGCAGCCGCGGUAAUACGGAGGGUGCAAGCGUUAAUCGGAAUUACUGGGCGUAAAGCGCACGCAGGCGGUUUGUUAAGUCAGAUGUGAAAUCCCCGGGCUCAACCUGGGAACUGCAUCUGAUACUGGCAAGCUUGAGUCUCGUAGAGGGGGGUAGAAUUCCAGGUGUAGCGGUGAAAUGCGUAGAGAUCUGGAGGAAUACCGGUGGCGAAGGCGGCCCCCUGGACGAAGACUGACGCUCAGGUGCGAAAGCGGGGGAGCAAACAGGAUUAGAUACCCUGGUAGUCCACGCCGUAAACGAUGUCGACUUGGAGGUUGUGCCCUUGAGGCGUGGCUUCCGGAGCUAACGCGUUAAGUC